GUCGCGCGCCCGCCACCUUGCUGGGGGCCGUAAAGCGCGGAAGGUCGCGGGCCCCGUCUUCCCCGGAACUUUUUAUUCCUCAGGCCCGCCCCUCUUCCCCUACCCGCUUGCCGCUCUCCGGCCCGCGGCGACCCCCGCAACCGCCGUGCCGCGCCUCGCUUCGGCAGCCGUGUUGUUGAGCGCGGAGCUUGAGCGGCAGCUGAGGAUUCCCGUCCACAUUCCAGGGGCGUGGUGAGGGUAUUCAAAUCCUGACCCCAGAAGGCGAAGAACUUCUCAAUUCGGAGACUGCGAAGAGCAUAAUACCCAGCAUUCCGGAUUCCAUAUUUCUGUCCAACAUUCAUCACUUCAUUGUAUACGUGCAGAGCAUACUAUUCAAAGAAAGGAAAGCCUCGUGGGCCUCCAGGAUUACAAGACUGUGCCACCACUCCCAGCAAUGAAAUGGUUUUUUAGUCCCAGGAAAAGUACAUCAAGUACUCCUGCUACAGAAACCUUAAGGGAUCAGCCUGUUGGAAGAACAGGGUGGAAUGGUGGAACAAAGUACUUUGGCCUCUCAAAUCCAUGUUUCUCCAUCCAUCUGGCUCCUUGUGCAUCUAGCCGGUCAUACAGAGGAGAUGUGCGCAACUGCCUACCUGUCUGGAAGUCCCAACGGGGAACCUUCAGAUCGUAUAUCAGAGCUAAAAGAGACAAGAGAGUUUAUCAAAGUUCAAGUCACAGAUUCUGGAGCUGAAUAUCCAAUAUCUACUAAACUUGAAUCAUUUCUAUUCAUGAGAGAAUAAUUUGCAGGCUGAUGCAGCCUAAUUUGUCAGGUAUUACCUAGUAUUAACAGGCAUGAUCCAAAAGAAAGGACAACACUGUAAGACCAUAUAAAGCUAUCUACCAGCGA